rnacentral:rRNA from 1 species
UACGUAGGGGGCAAGCGUUGUCCGGAAUCAUUGGGCGUAAAGAGCGUGUAGGCGGCUUGGUAAGUCCGCUGUGAAAGUCCAGGGCUCAACCCUGGAAUGCCGGUGGAAACUGUCAGGCUCGAGUCCGGAAGAGGCGAGUGGAAUUCCUGGUGUAGCGGUGAAAUGCGCAGAUAUCAGGAGGAACACCAAUGGCGAAGGCAGCUCGCUGGGACGUACUGACGCUGAGACGCGAAAGCGUGGGGAGCAAACAG